GAUGAAGAACGCAGCGAAAUGCGAUAGGUAAUGUGAAUUGCAGAAUUCAGUGAAUCAUCGAAUCUUUGAACGCACAUUGCGCCCGCCAGUAUUCUGGCGAGCAUGCCUGUUCGAGCGUCAUUUCAACCAUCAAGCCCCAGGCUUGUGUUGGAGCCCUGCGGCUGCCGCAGCCUCCCAAAACCAGUGGCGGGCUCGCUAUCACACCGAGUGCAGUAGUUUACUCUUCGCUCAGGGCGUGUGGCGGGUGCUAGCCGUGAAACCCCCAACUUCUCAAGGUUGACCUCGGAUCAGGUAGGAAUACCCGCUGAACUUAAGCAUAUCAAUAAGCGGAGGA
rnacentral:misc_RNA from 1 species